UAAACUUUUCUAAAAUUGCAUUUUGACCCCUAAACUUUCUUAAAAUUACAUUUCUACCCCUAAAAUUUUCUAAAUUACAUUUGGGCCCUUAAACUUUCUAUAAAUUACAUUUUGGUACCAUAUUUUCCUAAAAUUACAUUUUUACCCCAGAAACUUUGCACCAUAUGCAGUUUGGUCCUCCUGGACUUGUCAAAUCGCCGCAACCAUCAGGCCAGCUCCAGCAGCCUCCCUAGGCCAUGAUUGCUCCAGUGCCACCUGAAAACAAAGAAGAAGACAAAAUAGAAGGAUUUAAAAGAAGAAAAUGAGAGAAAGAGAAGGGGGCAGCCAAGCAAGAAGCAAAAAAGAAAAAAAAUAAAUUUUGAGCAAAAAAAGAGCAAAAACAGCAGCAAAAAAAGGCAUACCGCCGCCGUCGUGCUCGCGCCACCGGCCCACCACCGCGACACCACACUCCCGACAACUAGCAAAACAACCAAAAAGAAAAAAAAAGAAAGAAACAACAAGCAAAAGAGAAAAAAAGAGAAAGAGAAAAGAAGAAAGAUGGGGGAAAGAGGAGACAACCGUGCGCCGCCGCCGGCCGUCACACCGUAGGCGGAGGAAGCGCCACCAGCAACAGAGAAAACGGUAGGGGGCUGAUCGGGAAAGAAAGAAAAAAGAGAAAGAAAAGAGAAGAAAGAAAGAGAAAAAGAAAAAAAGAAAGAAAACAGAAAGAAGAAGGAAGAAAAAAAGGGAGAUAAAAAAUUUUUAAAAAAAACUAAUAGUCCGGUCAAACCGACCUGACCCGGAAGCCGACCCGACCCGAUCUACAACAGGCCCGCACCAGCAGCCCUAGGCCCAAAAAAAAGCAAAACCCAAAAAAAAAGUAAAAAAAAGAAGCAGCAGAAAUUAAUAGCAGGCCUUUUUAACAGGCCCAACAGCAACCCAAAUCCGCCAGACCCAGCAGCUCCAGCGCAGCCCAAACCAGCAGCAACAUCGGCCCAGUCCAUUGGCAGCCUAAUAAGCAGCAGCCCAAC
rnacentral:lncRNA from 1 species